GCCGCAUUAGCACAAUGGUAGUGCGUUGCUUUCCUAACGACCGAAGCUUCAUAGGUCUAGCUAGGCAAAGGUUGCGGGUUCGAGUCCCGUGUGUGGUU